rnacentral:lncRNA from 1 species
GGCCAUCGCUCCCUUGCACUUCUCCAUCGAUGGGCGCGGUUGAGCAAUUUUAUUUGGAUCAACACUGCUAUUCAUGCUAGAGGCUAGUUGCAAAAUUGGUUGGUCAAAUAUUUACGAGCCCUGUUGAGCAGUUCUGCAUUCAUCUCUCAUCAAAUAUUUGACCAAUAUACAGCAGAUAUAACAUAGAACUGAGUGCAAUUUCACAUACUCAUUUGCAAAUUUCAAUCAAUAUUCUAUUGAAAUAGAGAGAAUUUUAGUUUUAGUUCAGAACUAUUACUUGUU